rnacentral:ncRNA from 2 species
CAACGUUCUCAGGGCGGGGUGCAAUUCCCCACCGGCGGUAAUUGCGCCCAUGCGCAUAGCCCGCGAGCGCUUGCAGGCAUGUCUUGCAAGGUCAGCAGACCCGGUGUGAUUCCGGGGCCGACGGUCAUAGUCCGGAUAAAGAGAGAACGGGA